AUUGAUCGCUGGCGGCAGGCUUAACACAUGCAAGUCGAGCGGAGAUGAGGUGCUUGCACCUUAUCUUAGCGGCGGACGGGUGAGUAAUGCUUAGGAAUCUGCCUAUUAGUGGGGGACAACAUUCCGAAAGGAAUGCUAAUACCGCAUACGUCCUACGGGAGAAAGCAGGGGAUCUUCGGACCUUGCGCUAAUAGAUGAGCCUAAGUCGGAUUAGCUAGUUGGUGGGGUAAAGGCCUACCAAGGCGACGAUCUGUAGCGGGGCUGAGAGGAUGAUCCGCCACACUGGGACUGAGACACGGCCCAGACUCCUACGGGAGGCAGCAGUGGGGAAUAUUGGACAAUGGGGGAAACCCUGAUCCAGCCAUGCCGCGUGUGUGAAGAAGGCCUUAUGGUUGUAAAGCACUUUAAGCGAGGAGGAGGCUACUGAGACUAAUACUCUUGGAUAGUGGACGUUACUCGCAGAAUAAGCACCGGCUAACUCUGUGCCAGCCGCCGCGGUAA
rnacentral:rRNA from 1 species